rnacentral:ncRNA from 2 species
AUAAAGCGAUUGAAAAGCGCAGUAGAAUUAGUAACCACUAUUACAGAGAGUCGGGAUUUGGUGAGAUCUGACAUAUGUUUCUAAGUCGAAUUACACUUUUUGUUUUAUCAAAUCGUACGUUGGAUUUACGUUAAAAUCUAGAGUGAUAUUUUGAAAGUGCACUUUCAAAAUAUAACACGGGUGGUACCGCGAAAAAAUGACAGUUCGUCCCAGUA